rnacentral:lncRNA from 1 species
GCAGGGGCGGGGUGUCGAGGCCAGGCGGACUGCAGUCCCAGGACCGGCCCUAAUAGAGAAGACCCAGCAGCCCAAAACAAAUUCACCAACGGGUCAGUGUGGACCCCGUGGUCCUGAGAUGAUCAGAGGACUCCGGGAUCCGCCCCACCACCACCAUGAGACUCAAGUCGGCAGACGUGGGCCCUUCCCUCUGUGCACCUGGUGGCCCGCGGGGGUGACACAUGGGGCCAUCAGCUGGUGACAAAGGUGAGAGGAACUCACAGGGAGAGAAGGGAAGGCCAGGAGGGGGUCAGAGGGCCCAAGACAGCAGCAAAGAGGGUGGGGGCAGAUGCCUGAAGGAAGGGCUGCCCCAGGGUGGUGAUUCCAGGCCUGUGGGAGAAUAGCUCAGAGGAGGCCUGGAGUGGAGUGGAGAGGCCCACAGAGGGAUCUGAGGGCUGCCCAGAGCCUAAGCAGCUGAAGUGCUUAGGGUCCUUGAAACCGAACACUGCUCUACCUGCCUCAGUUCCCCACCAGCAUCCAGACCCCAGAGGACACAGGAAGCUCAAGUUUGCGGACCAGCCUGGUUUCCCCCACAUCUCCAGUGGCUGCCUAUGGCAGCCCGUUUCCACGUCACCCUCCACUGCGUCCGGUGUGCCCACUUGUGUGGCACCCCCACCCUCCCAGGGGACACUGGGG